CAAAGGGCGUUGCCGAAUUCCGGGAGCGUUUCCCGAAAGCGGGGGAACCACUCCCCACGGGGCGCAUCGCCAAUAAUGGCGUAGGACACUCUUCGGUCCGAGCCCGUCAGCUAACCUCGCAGGCGUCGAAGGGGAAGACCU
rnacentral:sRNA from 2 species